rnacentral:misc_RNA from 1 species
GAUGAAGAACGUAGCGAAAUGCGAUAAGUAGUGUGAAUUGCAGAAUUCAGUGAAUCAUCGAAUCUUUGAACGCACAUUGCGUCCCUUGGUAUUCCAUGGGGCAUGCCUGUUCGAGCGUCAUUUGUACCUUCAAGCUCUGCUUGGUGUUGGGUGUUUGUCUCGCCUCUGCGUGUAGACUCGCCUCAAAACAAUUGGCAGCCGGCGUAUUGAUUUCGGAGCGCAGUACAUCUCGCGCUUUGCACUCAUAACGACGACGUCCAAAAGUACAUUUUUACACUCUUGACCUCGGAUCAGGUAGGGAUACCCGCUGAACUUAAGCAUAUCAAUAAGCGGAGGA